rnacentral:lncRNA from 1 species
CAAGAACUUCCUUCAGGCAUAAAUUUUAAAAGUCAGAGGAUUGCACGGAAGAACCUGGAUUUGUGUAUCUGUUGUCUACUACCAUGUAAUGCUUCAUAGCAACAACUACAAAGCUUCGGUGUUAUGCAAAAUACAAUGUAACAAGACUAUGGAUUUGCAAAAUUUUGGAACCUGGCACAAAAUUGUUUCAGGAAGAUUUGAAGCAAGAAGGAUUUGUUCCUCUGAUUUACAAUGAAAAUUAAAAGUGGAAGUGUAAGAUGGGCCUUAGAACAGUGUUUUGUCAAAUACUGUAUACCAGAGUCUAAGGCAUUUGAUGUUGCUGAUUUUGGGGAGGAACACACAAGAAGAAAUAGGAAAAAUGCUUCUGCACAGAUCUCAAAGUUUCAGAGAGUAUUAAAGCUUUGAUAGUCAUCUGUUGCCACCAGAAUCACUGUCAUGACUGCCUUUUAUGGAUAAUUAUUUCAUAGUCACCAGAAAUAGAAGCCUACCAACUUAAGUUCUGAUGAUAGUUGGCCACUAAUAAAGUGGAGAACCUUCACUGAUUUACUCUCCUAAAAUUACCGUGCCUGUCUUCAAAAGUUGAUGACUUGCAUACUGAAUC